CCUUAGAGUUUGAUCCUGGCUCAGAACGAACGCUGGCGGCAUGCCUAACACAUGCAAGUCGAACGGGUGUAGCAAUACACCAGUGGCAGACGGGUGCGUAACACGUGGGAACCUGCCCAGAGGUUCGGAAUAGCUGCGGGAAACUGCAGGUAAUACCGAAUGUUGCCUGAGGGCUAAAGGAGCAAUCCGCCUUUGGAGGGGCCCGCGUCCGAUUAGCUAGUUGGUGAGGUAACGGCUCACCAAGGCUACGAUCGGUAGCUGGUCUGAGAGGAUGACCAGCCACACUGGAACUGAGACACGGUCCAGACUCCUACGGGAGGCAGCAGUGGGGAAUAUUGGACAAUGGGGGAAACCCUGAUCCAGCAAUGCCGCGUGGGUGAUGAAGGCCUUCGGGUUGUAAAGCCCUUUUGGCGGGGACGAUGAUGACGGUACCCGCAGAAUAAGCCCCGGCUAACUUCGUGCCAGCAGCCGCGGUAAUACGAAGGGGGCUAGCGUUGUUCGGAAUUACUGGGCGUAAAGGGCGCGUAGGCGGCUGUGCAAGUCAGAUGUGAAAGCCCUGGGCUCAACCCAGGAUGUGCAUUUGAUACUGCAUGGCUAGAGUGUCGGAGAGGAUGGUGGAAUUCCCAGUGUAGAGGUGAAAUUCGUAGAUAUUGGGAAGAACACCGGUGGCGAAGGCGACCAUCUGGACGACAACUGACGCUGAGGCGCGAAAGCGUGGGGAGCAAACAGGAUUAGAUACCCUGGUAGUCCACGCCGUAAACUAUGCGUGUUGGACGUUGGCGAGCCUAGCUCGUCGGUGU
rnacentral:rRNA from 1 species